UUUUUUCAACUAAACGCAGGUUUAUUGGAGAAAAGAAAAACCUCCACAUCCAAACAGUUAAAAUAAAAAAAAUGCCAAGUUUCAAAUGGAGUGAAAUUUAUUCCAAGUUAAACAGAUGUACAGCUCACAGAUGUACAGUUUAGAGAUGAAUCCCCUUCUAUACAGGCUCACCUGUUCAAUGCUGCUUCAUCGAUUUCAAUCAGGGAACGAUUUAUACCCUGUUCUGGAUCAUUACAAUGAACUUCUUCUGUUUGUCUAAAGAACCGUGGGACCGUUCUAGCACACUCGAGAAAUCUGGAAACAGACACACGGUAUUGUCAUGCAUACAUCUGGCCUCAUGAGUUGAUAGCUUUGUUUUUCAAACCUGAGAAUUGUUCUGCCACAGAUGGCUGGACCGUACUUGACAAUUUAGUAUUUAGAGGAUUUUAAUGUUUCCAAGCCUUCACCAUCCCGAGCGCCUCCGUUAUUUUACGCAACCAGAACAGUAUUGUUUCAUCCCAAUCUUUAGACUUCACAUUGCUGUACUCUCCCCGUGCAUUAGCUAGGAUAUAGACUGUCUCUACAUAAACACAUGAACACACAUACACAUUUACAUAGUGUACACAAUGUACACCUACAGGUAAACAAAUUAUAAAUCUCAGAAAAUAACAACACAACUUCUAGGCCCGAAUCACUUUUUAACAAGCUUAUUUCUUCUUUUUUUUGUUUUGUAGGCAUAAAGAAUCCAGUUAACUCUAUCUAGUAAUAAAAGUGUGUAAUGAAGAGAACAGUGGUACAACAUUCAAAAGACAGGGCUGAAUCUGAAAAGAACGUGAGAUCCGGGGACGUUUAAGAGAAAGCAAAGGCACGACGAGAGGCCAUUGUCCAACGUGGGCGUUCGCGAGAGGGUAAAGCACGAACCGCUGCAGGAUUUCUAAAACCUGGAAGACGUCUUCACAAUCCAAACCAUCCUUAGCUGCAGUCGCUAUGAAUAGAAACGUAGAUACUUAAGUGUAAGCUGCCUACAGUCACAUGCACCUUGUCUUAACAGAUACAAUUAUGUAAAUUCAUUGCCCCCCCUAUAGCAGGACUCCGUGAGCAGAGAGAAUGACUUGUAUCUACUGAUUCAAUAAUUCAUGGGUGUUCUGGAGCAAACCUUAUUCUGGAAUCAAACAAGUCCCGAGCAGGGGAUGUGGUGGGCUUAAUAUUUCAGGAGGUGGGGGGUGGGGUUAGGGACAGUGAGACAGUAAAGAGAGCUUUGCCUUUUCUCUAUUGUAGCAAAAGUGUAUACAUUUUAAAUAUAUAAUAUAUAUAUAGAUAGACUUAUUUAUAAAGUGCUUAAUAGGAAUAGAGAGUUAUAGAAUGUACUCAUAUGCUGUCACUUUGCUUCGUUGGUCUUCUCUGGAGUCUUCGGUCUGCUGUGUGUGCGGUUAUUUACAUCAUGUUUACAAGUCCUGUUUGAUACUCCGUCGUGGGUUGGGUGCCGUGUGGAAGGGUGAGUGCUGGCUGGAAGGGUGCUGGGUUGAAGGGUGCUGGGUUGAAGGGUGCAGGGUUGAAGGGUGCAGGGUUGAAGGGUGCAGGGUGGAAGGGUGCAGGGUUGAAGGGUGCCAGGUGGAAAGGGUGAGUGCUGGGUGGAAGGGUGCAGGGUUGAAGGGUGCUCUCUGGGUGGGUACAAGCUGGAGGGGUGCCAGCGGGGUGGAAGAGUGGAAGGGUGCUGUUUGGAAGGGUGCUAGGUGGAUGGGUGCAGGAUGGAACAGUGCUGGGGGGAAUGGUGUUGGGUGCUGUGUGGGUGGAAGGUGCUGGGUGGUUUGGGCCCGGUUCUAAGGGUGCUGGCUGGGUUGGGCCUGGUUCUAAUGGUGCUGGGGGGGUGGUGCUGGGGUUCUGGUACUGGGAGUUGAGCUUUGGAUGGAUUGGUGGCAGGAGAACGAUUCGGGGUGAAUUGAUAUUGGGUGCUGGGUUCAUGCGUGCUUGGUUGAUGGGUGUAGUGAUAGUGGGUUGAUGGGUGCUGGGUUACUGGGUGAAGUGAUGGUGGGUUCAUGGCUUGAUGGGUG
ensembl:lncRNA